UGUCAUUGACAUAUAACUAUAAUUCUAAGCUCGAUGGUGUCUGUUCAGUUCUUUGCUGUUGUUUUGGAUUGUGGUUUGUUACUGCAUCUGAGCAAUUUAAGCAAAUUAUCUGGUCAUUUUUACGUUGAGUCGAGGAACUGCUCCUCCGUACUCUAUCUGUUGAUAGUACUUUCGCGAAAGGACGCUUUAUUACUUGUGUUAUGUGUGUGUACGUGCUUUAAAAUGACGAGUUUGCAAUGCAUCAAUUGCAACGUUCGCUUGUCGCGAAUACGAAGGCACGCUUUAUCCGAUGAGAGUGAAGAUAUCGUCAAUACUAUUCGGCUGUGGACAUAUCCUAGAGAUAUAACACCUGCUGACCCUGUUUGCCGCACGGAACAAAUAUUUGAAUGAUCUGCAAGUAGUUGUUCUGGGUCUGGGUAUUUCUGCACAUGAGUUUCUAUGUUGAUGAAAUAAUACUAAGAAUAGAUUAAAUAAUUAUAAGAACAAUAAAAUAGAUGUAUAUUCCUACAAAAA
rnacentral:lncRNA from 1 species